UGCGUACACAACCCGCAAGCGCACACACACAGGCAGCAUACACACACGCAUGGAAUGGAAAGGAAAAAGCUCUCUUUCUCUCUCUAGAUUUCUCACAAAAUUAAGGGAAUUGGUGAAGAAGUAAGUUUGGAAGUCGAUUUUCAUCUUCAUCAUCAUCUUCCUCUCUAUUGGAGCUAAUUUGAGAGGGAAACGAACGCGCUGGCGAAGACGGUUCGGCAAUCCGACGAGCCGUUGCGAAGUUAUUAAAGAAACGGACGUUAGGCUUCGUUUCCGCCUGGAGGGCCGAGGCGACGUCGUAAAAUCCUGGAAACGGAUUUGAAGCAUCGUAACAGCAAAACGAAGACCCUUUUUACCCGGGGCUGCGAAGCGAUGCGCGGUUGGUGCGCAACUACAAGUUCCGACGGAACCGGGCGCCCGAUGCCGCGGGAGGCCGAUUGCAAGUGUCGACAAGCAAUCGGAACGCGAAUCGAGGUUUGCGAAUCACAUUAAGCUCUUUUGGUGACCUGGGAGGCUGGUUUAGAAGGUGUUCCAACUAAAGCGGGCUUGCAACGGACUUUCGGAGUAUCUCCGGCUGAUGUGUAAAGGCUUUUAGAAGCUUAACUUGAGCAGAGUUGGGACUCCGUUGAGUAGAGUUUCGGGACUUCUUGUGGCUGGAUUGAGCUUCAUAAUAGGUUUGCGAAUCACAUUAAGCUCUUUUGGUGACCUGGGAGGCUGGUUUAGAAGGUGUUCCAACUAAAGCGGGCUUGCAACGGACUUUCGGAGUAUCUCCGGCUGAUGUGUAAAGGCUUUUAGAAGCUUAACUUGAG